rnacentral:rRNA from 1 species
AGUGAACGCUGGCGGUAGGCCUAACACAUGCAAGUCGAACGGCAGCACAGUAAGAGCUUGCUCUUACGGGUGGCGAGUGGCGGACGGGUGAGGAAUACAUCGGAAUCUACUUUUUCGUGGGGGAUAACGUAGGGAAACUUACGCUAAUACCGCAUACGACCUACGGGUGAAAGCAGGGGAUCUUCGGACCUUUCGCGAUUGAAUGAGCCGGUGUCGGAUUAGCUAGUUGGCGGGGUAAAGGCCCACCAAGGCGACGAUCCGUAGCUGGUCUGAGAGGAUGAUCGGCCACACUGGAACUGAGACACGGUCCAGACUCCUACGGGAGGCAGCAGUGGGGAAUAUUGGACAAUGGGCGCAAGCCUGAUCCAGCCAUACCGCGUGAGUGAAGAAGGCCUUCGGGUUGUAAAGCCCUUUUAUUGGGAAAGAAAAGCAGCAGGUGAAUACCCCGCUGUCCUGACGGUACCUAAAGAAUAAGCACCGGCUAACUUCGUG